rnacentral:rRNA from 1 species
CACGUAGGCGGAUCGGUAAGCCAGAUGUGAAAUCCCGGAGCUCAACUCCGGAACUGCAUUUGAUACUGCCAGUCUUGAGUGAGGUAGAGGGGGGUGGAAUUCCCGGUGUAGAGGUGAAAUUCGUAGAUAUCGGGAGGAACACCAGAGGCGAAGGCGACCCCCUGGGCCUUUACUGACGCUGAGGUGCGAAAGCGUGGGGAGCAAACA